CCACUUCAGUACGCUGCUACGUAGUUUCGAAUGCCAUUCUCUUCCCCAUCUGUUUUGCGGCAAGGUGUACCCCAUUGAUAACCAGCAAAGUAAUAGUGUUCGAUAAUGACAUACACCAUCGCCUUUGUCUAAACUCAGUUAAGGAAACAUAGUUUACCACUCAUCAUGAAAUCAAUUCUCUUGUCUCUCGCAUACCUUGCAUCAAGCGUUUUUCCAAAUGCAGUGGUUGGACAAAGCGCAACAUCUCUGCCUGCACCUGUGGCACAAAUACCCCCCACCUGCAGGACAACCUUCUGCAGCAACUUCACCAACACCUGGAAUAGGAAU
rnacentral:lncRNA from 1 species